GACGAACGCUGGCGGCGCGCCUAACACAUGCAAGUCGAGCGAGAACCCGAGGAGGGGUAACCCUUCUCGGGGGAGAGCGGCGAACGGGUGAGUACCACGUGGGCAACCUGCCCCAGACUCUGGGAUAACCCCGGGAAACCGGAGCUAAUACCGGAUACUUUCGGCGGACCGCAUGAUCUGCCGAUGAAAGCUUUCGCGGUCUGGGAUGGGCCCGCGGCCUAUCAGCUUGUUGGCGGGGUAACGGCCCACCAAGGCGACGACGGGUAGCUGGUCUGAGAGGACGGCCAGCCACACUGGGACUGAGACACGGCCCAGACUCCUACGGGAGGCAGCAGUGGGGAAUCUUGCGCAAUGGGCGAAAGCCUGACGCAGCGACGCCGCGUGGGGAGUGAA
rnacentral:rRNA from 1 species